GAUGAACGCUGGCGGCAUGUCUAAGGCAUGCAAGUUGAACGAUUCACAUUUCUUCGGAAAGACUGAAUAGUGGCAAACGGGAGCGGAACACAUUGGUAACCUACCUCGGACUCGCGAACAACCAUUGGAAACGAUGGCUAAUACGCGAUACGUCCUCACUUCUUCGGAAGAGAGGAUGAAAGGUCCGCCGGUUCGAGAGGGGCCUAUGUCCUAUCAGCUAGUUGGUGAGGUAAAAGCUCACCAAGGCUACGACGGGUACCGGGCGUGAGAGCGUGGCCCGGCUCACUGGGACUGAGACACUGCCCAGACUCCUACGGGAGGCUGCAGUCAAGAAUCUUCCGCAAUGCACGAAAGUGUGACGGAGCAAUGCCGCGUGCUCGAUGAAGGCCUUCGGGUCGUAAAGAGCUUUUAUUAGGGACGAACAAAUGACGGUACCUAAUGAAUAAGAGGUUGCUAACUCUG
rnacentral:rRNA from 1 species